UACAGAGGGUGCGAGCGUUGUUCGGAAUUACUGGGCGUAAAGCGCGCGCAGGCGGCCCUUUAAGUCCAUCGGUCAAAUGCCGGAGCUCAACUCCGUGCGUGCCGAGGAUACUGGAGGGCUGGAGACACGUAGAGGCGAAGCGGAAUUCCGGGUGUAGCGGUGGAAUGGCGUAGAGAGUCCGGAAGAACACCGGAGGCGAAGGCGGCUUGCUGGGCGUGAUCGUGACGCUGAGGCGCGAAAGCGUGGGGAGCGAACAGG
rnacentral:rRNA from 1 species